rnacentral:rRNA from 1 species
ACGGAAGGCAGCAGUGGGGAAUAUUGCACAAUGGGCGGAAGCCUGAUGCAGCGACGCCGCGUGGGGGAUGACGGUCUUCGGAUUGUAAACCCCUUUCAGUAGGGACGAAGCGCAAGUGACGGUGCCUGCAGAAGAAGCACCGUCCAACUACGUGCCAGCAGCCGCGGUAAUACGUAGGGUGCGAGCGUUGUCCGGAAUUACUGGGCGUAAAGAGCUCGUAGGCGGUUUGUCACGUCGUCUGUGAAAUCCUCCAGCUUAACUGGGGGCGUGCAGGCGAUACGGGCAGACUUGAGUACUACAGGGGAGACUGGAAUUCCUGGUGUAGCGGUGAAAUGCGCAGAUAUCAGGAGGAACACCGGUGGCGAAGGCGGGUCUCUGGGUAGUAACUGACGCUGAGGAGCGAAAGCAUGGGUAGCGAACAGGAUUAGAUACCCUGGUA